UCUUCCCUCUGCCCCUCUUCUAAGGGCAAAAAGGAGGCCCAGCUGAGCCCAAAGGGACAAUUCCCUGGCUCCCCACUGUCUGAGGCUUGUGGCUCCAGGAGGGGCCCUAGAGACUGAGGGUGGGAAAAGCAGUCUGAUGGCCUAGGACCAAGAAGGAGAAAGACCACCAACAAUGUCUGGCAGGGCUGGGGUGGGGGCAGUUAUGCUUAGAACAGGGACUCUGGAGUCAGACUCAUCUGAUUCAACUCCUAGCACUGGCCCUGGGUGGGACCCCCUCCUCACCUGCAACACAGGCUAAACGAUGGCGCCCGUAAAGUGCUCAGCACAGAGCCUGGGCCAAGAGAAGUGCUCAGCAAACGCAGCCACUCCGAAUAGAGGAAUAGAUGGGGACAGAGCUGCCCAGGGCCUGGGGACUGGGAGGAGGCCCCACCCCCUCUUCAGGCUGCUGCCGUCCAACAGCAAGGAUGGACCCACACACCUCAUACCUCUGACAUGCCCUGUGGCAGAAUCAGUGGUUCACGGGUGGAAGGGGUGGCCACACUUACCCACCAGACCCAGAAAGCACAUGCUCAACCCCAACUCCUGACCAGCCACAAAGCAGAGGAAAGACAGUCAGGGCCACGUGGCCAGCCCAUUGGCUCAUCCCCUUAGACACUCUCCCCACUGCCCAGGCACGCCAGGCUCCUAGCCCUUGACUUUCCCUCUCUGUCCUGCCCUCUCCUCCCUCCCCUUAGUGUCCCCUGAAGCUGGUCUCUGUUCCCCGCUGAGCACACUUGCCUGCCUUCCUUCCUUCUGGCUGGUGAGGCCGGUGCCCUUCGGAUGGUGUGGAGCUGCCGAGACCGUGAUGGCUUGACGUCUCAUGGUCUUACUUGCAAAGGCCAAAGUAUUCCAUGACCAGUUGGGUUCCUCAAAGCCAUGGUCCAGUAUUGGAGGAGGGGCUUUUCCCUUGUACACCCACCCCAUCCCCACCGCCCAUGGUCCUCCCAGCCGGGGAGUCAGGAAGGGGAAGGGACGAACAUAGAGUGCAGCACUCAGCACAGUUACAUCUGAGGCUGAGCUCUUCACUUACUAGCUGGGUGGCCUCUCUGUGAACUGGGGACAGCCCCCUCCAGGAUGGACACACAGCCAGGAGGCACGUGAGAGGGAGGAGUACCCAUUCCCCUGUGGGGUGGCUAUUAGGAGGCCUGAAGGGCAGAAAGGGAGUCUGUCCUUUCCGUGCUCAGAACCAGGUGAAACUGAGCUGCCAACCCUGCCCGAAGGGACAGAACCGAGCCAGGCAGCAGUGGACGUAGUGCCCAGACGGAGGUCACAGGGUGAGGACAACACUGAGAGCUCUUGUCCCAAAAGACAGACCCAAGAAGAUACAAUCUUUUAAUUAUAUGCUCAGGCUUCCUGGGCUGCUGGCCAGGGUACAUCCAACCCUUGGCCUCCUCCACAGGCCCAGCAGGGACGCUGCCUCCCUCUGCCCUGACCCUUUCUGGGGACCGAGGGGUCCGGGGUCCCCAGGACAGAGGAAAGGAGGCAGGAGACCCAGCAGGAGCUGGACUUGGCGCUCUUGUCUCUGGAGGAGUGGGUGGGGGUGAGGGGAGAGCAAUGGGGUCCAGAUCAACUCAGGACUCCCCGCACAACAUACCCACUCAGGCUCUGCCAAGACCCGGGUGGGGCUGGGGAUGGGAGCAGCAUCAAUCCUGUCCCCUGGGACAUCCAAAGCCUCUGGUCCAGGUUCUCUGAAGGCCAAUUCGUUGGCCUGCUGUAGCCAGGCAGGCUAAGAAGUGCUUGAAGCAGCCUGCACAAGACAACGGGAGUGCGGGCUCUGUGGUUGACUAGAGCGGGGAGCUCAUCCUCUCCCACUCAAGGUACUCAGAAUGUUUUUUUAAUGUACUAUUUUUGCUGGACAAAAAAAAAGUGUCAGGCCUGUCCAGGCCACAACUGCCGGCUUGUGACCCCUUCAGCUGGUUUCCCCUUUAUCUCCAGAGGAUCCCAGCACCGAUGCCAUCAGCCCCACCUGAGUCCAGGCGAGCAGGAGUCACCUCUGGUGGGGGUCCCACAGGGGUGGGAGGGGCACCACCCUUCCGAAGAGGAGCUUUUCUGUGCAGCGUCUCUCAAGUCAGGCAACAACUCUGGGAGGAGUAUUUUUUAACCCCUAUUUUGCUAGCGAGGGAACAGACUCUACGUGAGCCUUGAUGAGAGGACAGGACUGCGGACCGCGAGGGCUGGAUUUGGCCGCUUCGGGCUUGCUGCCUCUCAGAGGAAACUCAGCCAAGCAGCUUGGAUCCGUAGAGCAGUUGUGCGUUUACAAAGGGCUUUCUCACAUCAAAGUGCGUCUAAUACCGUGGUUUACAGAUGGGAAAUCCAGUUUACGGCGACAGUAACACCUCAGCGCAAACCUGGCAGGGGGAAGACUAGAGGCCAAGUUCUAGGCUCCGUCCAUCUCCACCAGCCAGGCCUGCCCUGUGCAGAGGCACCCACCCUGCCGGGGAGCCCCAACUCUCAGCCUAGGUCCCUGCCCAGGACAGUUCACUCUGCACAGAGAAAAGGCUUUGGCUACUAGCCAGCUGACUGUAGCCUCCCCAACCCCACUCCAGCCAGCCAACAUACUUGGGAGGUGAGAUACAUACGCUGGAGCCUUUCACUGGGGGUUCAAACCCCAGCUCAGCCACCUGUUAGCUGUGUGAUUUUGGGCAAGUUCUUAACCUCUCUGUGCCUCAGUUUUCUCAUCUGUAGAAUGAGGACAAUAAUAUAGUACCUACGCCAUAGGAUAGUCAUGAGAGGUAUAUGAGUUAACACAUGUAAGGUGUUUAGGACAGUGCCUGACACAUUGUAAGAGCUACAUGAGUGAUAGGUUUAUCACUACUACUGUUAUUAUUAUUUUCUGACCCAAGAAAGACUAUGGAUAUCAGAGCAGGCAAAACCUGAUGCCCUGGAGGAGGUUCUGUGGGAGGAGGGGAGGAGGCCUGUUAUGUCACCCUCCACAGGCGGGUGGCUCACCCAGGGGGUAACAUGGGGUGGAAAUUACCAUUAAUAGUAGUUCCCUCUUGGGCCAGUCACAGACCUACAGAGCACGAGGGGGUGAGAAAUUUUACUAUUGUGGGAGUGAGAAAUGUUACUACUGGGCAGAAUUCCAUUUUUAGAAACUGGGAAGUUAUUUUGGGUGGAGGGUUGGUGUUUGUGAUUUUUUUAACAGCCUCUGCGCUCUAACAAUAUGUGCGCUUCCCGCUCUUCUCUUCCCGGAAACCAGGGCACAGUGGGGAGUCUGCCAUGCUGCCGUGGUUGCUAGGCAACCCCUUGGGCCUCCCACCCCAGCUGGGGCCUAGUGCAGAGCCCAGGGUGGGCUCCACGACCCCCACAAGCCCCCAUUACCAGUGCCAGGGUGCACUAGCUGUCUCUGCGGCCCUCUCAGGAAGUCUAGAGAAAGCAAGCUCGUGUUUUCCUGCCUGAGCAGCAGUUCGGAGGGCAAAUCAGCAGAAAAGAGCAUCUCCUGCAGCUCCAGGCACGCCUCACUUUCGGGGGCUAGAUGAGUUUCUUAGGGCUGCUGUUGAAAAUUACCAUGAACGUGGCGGCUUAAGAGAAAUUUAUUCUCUCAAAGUACUGGAGGCCAGAAGUCCAAAAUCAGUAUCACUGGGCCCAAAGCAAGGGGUCAGUAGGGCUCUGCUCCCUCCAGAGGCUUUAAGGGAGAUCUGUUCCUUGCCCCUUGCAGCUUCUGGUGGCGGCUGGCAUCCCUCGGCUCGUGGCAGCAUCACUGCAGUCUCUGCCUCUCUGGUCACGUUGCCUUCUCCACCCCUAUUUGUGUCACAGCUCCCUCUGCCUCUCUCUUGUGAGGACACUUGUGAUUGCAUUUUGGACCUAGCUGGAUAAUCCAAAAGCAUCGCCCCAUCUGAAGAUUCUUAACUUAAUCUUACAUCUGCUAAGACCUUUCUUCCAUAUAAGGUAACAUUUAUAGAUGCCAAGGGGUUAGGAUCCGCCAUCUUUGGGGAUCAUCCUUCAGUCUGCUAUUCAGCCAAGCCAAUGUCUUCUCCCAACAAAACCAGACAGCGGGUCACCACUAGCCUCCUGGCAUUCUGGCCUGUCACUCUCUACCUGGAACCACACACUAGGGUGAGGACAACUGAGCACACGGUGCUGACACUGAGGCCCUGCCCAUCCUGGAGGCGUCUUGUAUGGCCAGGCCUGGAGCUUCUGGGAGGAGCGGGGGUGUUGGACUGCACACUCAGGCAGUGACAGCUCCCUUGAGGCCUCCAGUCACCACCACAAAAGGAAACAAGGAGCAAUAGACCAGAUGCCAGGACCAAACAAAUUUAAUAAAGAAAAGGAAAAAAUAGAAAAUGCUAAUCCUUCAGAAUCCUGGCCUCCAGAGGUAAUAAAAAAAAACUUGUUGUAUAAAGCAAUCUUCCUUCUAGACCUUUUUCUAUUCAGACAAAACCAUAUAAUUUUUAAAAACAAAAGUGGACUUAUACUAUACAUUCUGUUCUUCAACCUGAUUUUUUCAAUAAAUGAUAUAUUUUGGGCGCCUUUCAUGGCAGUGCAUGCAGCAUUUCCUCCACUUUUCUGAAGGCUGUUGGGGAUACCACUAUGUGGAGGACCAUGAGGAGUUACCCUAUUGAUGGGCAUUUGGGUUGUUUCUAAUUUUUCAGCUGAGACAGAUGUGGUGAGAUAGUUUAGUGAGAUGCUAAUAGCUGACUUGCUCUCAUUGCUUCAGGAGGCUCACAAAGAUGGGGAGGCAAUUUUCUCUCUCCUUUACACCACACAAUUUACCCCAAAGCAACCAAGCCUCCGGUGAAGGAAGCCAGGGUUUCCCCAGCUCCCAGGAAGAAUUAAUAGGCCUUUGUUUUCCAAGGCUGAGCCUCACAGAGACAAGGAACGGGAUUGUUGGAGAAGGGGAGGGACUCUGUGUUUGUGGGGAGGCUUCCCUACCAGCACACAAACAUCUCCUCUCAAACUGGCUUAGACAAUAGAGAGAAUAUAUUUCCUCCCUCCUGCAUCAGAGAAGCCCUAAGGCUAGGUGGGAUUCAGGUGCAGUUUGAUCCAGAGGUUCAUGAUACCAUCAGGCUCUGGUUCUGUUUUUUUUGUGAUUCUCUCGGCUCAGUCCUGCUCUGUGGGUUAUUUUUGUCCACAAAAUCACUUUCCUCCUUUUAGUAAAAAAAGCUAGAGCAUUUCAGGGCCCACAUCCACCCAUGACGCUAUUCACAGGAAAAGAAAAAUUUCUGUCCUAGGACUUCCAGCAAUCUUCUGAGAUGCAUCCUGAUUGGACCAGUUUAGGUCCUGUGCUCACCACCGAACCAGUCACUGUGGUGAGGAGCUGGGAUGUCCUGACAAACUUAGUCUAGGUCACUUGCUCCCACUCUGGGGUUAGAGGUGCAGAUGGCUUUCCCUAAGUCAGAGGGAUUUUCCAAUAAAAAUUAGGAAGUUGCGAAAGGGGCAGUAGGAAGGAGUGGGAAGAGAGGAGGUAACCAACGGGGGUUCAUGGGAGUCUUUAAGGGUGGACGGGCUCGAAGCAGCCCUGCUUAGAGGAAAAGAAAUGGGUUUUCUGAACUCUGUAAACCCACACCCUGAUGCCUGUAGAAUUCCAAGGGGCCAGAACCCAAAUCCUCGGGUAUGAGGAGUAAAUUCACACCAACUCCCCAGAAAUGCACCCUGAGCUUCCUGGUGUGUGAGUGUGUACCCUCAUUCUAGGAUAAAUUCCUAGAAAUGGAACUGCUGGGUCAAAGAGCUGGCAUGUUCUAACUUUCAUAGAUAAUGCUCAAUUGCCCUCCAGAAAGGUUUUUACCAGUUUCUCCUUCCAAUAAUACAGCCUAUGAAAAGGCCCAUUAACCCACAUCUUGUCAAUACUAAAUAUUAUCCAUCUUGCUAAUGACUGCCAUCCUGAUAGAUUUCAUUUGGUUUUGUAAAGCUGUAAGGUAGGAUGAACAUCUUUUCAUACACUUAUUAAAUAAUUACAAUUCCUGCAUCUGAAAGGCCCAGAGGGUGGGUGGGAUUCAGGUGUGGUUUGAUCCAGAGGUUCAUGCUAUCGUCAUGAUAUGGAUUCUAUGGAUUAUUUGCUCAUGGCCUUUGUUGGUUUUUCUAUUGAGUUGUUUAUCUUUUCAUUAUUUAAUUGUGACAGCUCCUUGUAGAUUAGGGAUACAAACCCUUUGUUUUAUCUGUUGCAAAUAUUUUCCCCAGCUUGUCCUUUGUGUUUUGACUUCGUAUACAGAGCUUUUGUUGUCCAGAACUUUGCAAAUUUUAUGUGGUUCAGUGUAUCAGGCUUUUCUGGUUUUUUGCUUAGAAAGGUUUUAUCCACUCUAAAAUAAAAAAUGGUCACCUAUGCUUUCUUUCGUGACUUCUGUGGUUUCUUUUUAUAUUUAAAUAUUUCAUCUAUCUGAAAUUUAUUUUACUGUAUGAUGCAUGUGAAGCAGGGGUGAAUUUUCUGUUUUUUCAAAUGGAUAGCUGAUUAGGAUGUCAGAACUUUGUGAGAUUCCAGAAUCUCCAUAACUUUCCUGUGGUUCUGAUUUUUGCUACCAUCUUGUUUCCAUGGAGUGAUCAGAAGGGAUUAGAAGGAACACGGCUGGUACUUAUCUUCAAGCUCAAGAACAACCAGGGGAGGGGGCUGAAGGAGCCCAGGGCGCAGUUGACAGACAAUGCCAGAAGGAUGGGGCAUGGUGCCCAGAGGAGGGGAAGCGGCUGAGCCCCUGCAGCGAUGAAGCAAGGAGGGAGGGGAGAGCCAUGCUCCUCUUGAGAAGAGCUCAGGGAGCAAGAGAAAGACCCCAGCAGCGUCCGCCGCUCCCCAAACCCCACGGCAGUUCACAGGAAGAGGGUUUUCACAGCAUCGAGUCAAAACGGCACUGCACACUGCGGUCAGUUUUUUCGAAAGAAAGGAAGCCAAGAUGGAUCAAAGAAAAGCAGGUUGAGAGAUGACAGCCCAGGGCCUGUGCCGUGAAAGGACCAAGCACAGAGGAACAGGGCUCACCGUGCCACCUGGGAGGAGCACAGCCCUGGCCAGCACCGGCUCCCGUCCCUCUCCAGCUCCUCUGCCCGUGGAGGCCCUCGAGAUAAAUCCAGCCAGCCUCCCUCUCCUGCACAGCCGAGCCCUCACCUGCUCCUGCCUGGACCCAACAACAGUCUCCUGCCUGUUCGCCCACCUGGGUCCAUGGUGUCGAACUCCAGCCUCCAUGCUGGAUUGGCAAGUUACCUUUUUCUAAGCCACAUAGUCGCCAGUGUUCUUUAUGUCUCAGGUGCAUCCCAGAGCUCGAAAUGGAAACACGAAGUUUCUGUAUCUCCUAUGACACUGUGAUUAAAUUGACAAAGUUGCUCUUAAAAAUGUGGGCUAUAAAAUUAUUUAUUUUACUGUUCCUGUUUUCCUUUUGCUUCAUUUUUCUGGCUUCUUUU